ensembl:rRNA 5S_rRNA 5S ribosomal RNA
GUAUACGGCCAUACCACCCUGAAUGCGCCCGACCUCGUUUGAUCUCGGAAGCUAAGCAGGGUCGGGCCUGGUUAGUACUUGGAAGGGAGAAAGGGCAGAGGAACCAGAGAUCAAAUUGCCAACA